AGAGUUUGAUCAUGGCUCAGGAUGAACGCUAGCGGGAGGCCUAAUACAUGCAAGUCGAGCGGUAACUUUCUUCGGGAAGCUAGAGCGGCGCACGGGUGAGUAACGCGUACAUGACCUGCCUUUAAGACCGGGAUAGCCCUGGGAAACUGGGAUUAAUACCGGAUGUGAUAAUAGAUAUAAAGAUUUAUUAUUAAAGUUACGGCGCUUAGAGAUGGAUGUGCGUCUGAUUAGCUAGUUGGUAGGGUAACGGCCUACCAAGGCUACGAUCAGUAGGGGGCGUGAGAGCGUGGCCCCCCACACGGGUACUGAGACACGGACCCGACUCCUACGGGAGGCAGCAGUAAGGAAUAUUGGUCAAUGGACGAAAGUCUGAACCAGCCAUCCCGCGUGCAGGAUGAAGGUCCUAUGGAUUGUAAACUGCUUUUAGCAGAGAAGAAAAGCAUCCUUUUAAGGGUGUCUGACGGUAUCUGCGGAAUAAGCACCGGCUAACUCCGUGCCAGCAGCCGCGGUAAUACGGAGGGUGCAAGCGUUAUCCGGAAUCACUGGGUUUAAAGGGUGCGUAGGCGGAAUAUUAAGUCAGUGGUGAAAGCCUGUCGCUUAACGAUAGAACUGCCAUUGAUACUGAUAUUCUUGAAUUGGGUUGAGGUUAGCGGAAUGUGACAUGUAGCGGUGAAAUGCAUAGAUAUGUCAUGGAACACCAAUUGCGAAGGCAGCUAGCUGGGCCUUGAUUGACGCUGAGGCACGAAAGCGUGGGUAGCGAACAGGAUUAGAUACCCCGGUAGU
rnacentral:rRNA from 1 species